rnacentral:other from 1 species
CAAUCCCUGUGAUGUGCGUGAUGCUCAUCUGUCUUGAGCCAACACAUGGGUCGAGGGAGCCGGAGUCCAUGCGUGAUACUGGGGGCCUGGGCAGCCAGACCCGCUGAAUCACCGGCAGGCUCCCACCUGCGAAAGCAGGUUCAAGACUUCGAGCGCACGGCAUUGUGGGGAUUGC